ACUUCCGUACUUCCGCUUUCCGGCCCAGCCAGCGCCCGCGAUGACUGCCACUCUCCGCCCCUACCUGAGUGCCGUGCGGGCCACAUUGCAGGCUGCCCUCUGCCUGGAGAACUUCUCCUCCCAGGUUGUGGAACGACACAACAAGCCGGAAGUGGAAGUCAGGUAGGGAAGGACAAGUCAAGGUGGGGAUGAGGGGUGCAGCACACAGAGAUGGCUGCUGUCUAGAAGGUGCCAUGAACUUAUGUCCUGGAGUAGUCAGGACAGCUGCAGUUGACAUUUUGUCUUGCUGCCAGCUGAAUGGUGAUUCCCAAUUUGGAGUUAAGAAAAUAGGGUCAGUGGGUUGGCAGGACAGAACCCAGGGGAAAAGACAAGAUUGCUUGACACAAGGUAUGACUUCUCAGAGCAGGGCUGUUGAUGAAGUCUCUCCUAUGGCAUUGUUGAAACACUGGUAGUUUAAGGAAUGGUCAGAGAAUUGUUAUCUGAGAUUCCAUCUCCAUACUUUUCU
rnacentral:sRNA from 1 species